rnacentral:sRNA from 1 species
AUUCUGCCCAAGCGGGGAAGGAUGAGAAGCUUCGACUAAGGUUCGACUCGAGCGUCAGCGAGAGAGCGUUGCCGUAGGCAACGACCCGAAGGGCGAAGCGCGCAGCGCUAGUAAUCCUUCCCCCACCACCA